GUUCGUUUGAUCUUCAUGUCCCGUUUGUGUGCUCCGGUAUCCCUGACCGAACCUCUGUGUCCCGACCUUCGCCUGUUCUCCGACCAACCUUCCCCUUAUCCUCAUAAGGGCCACGGGAGUGCUGGAGCUUAUCCCAGCUAACAUUGCAUGCUUGUGGUGAAUUCUUCUUCUACGCAUGCUAGAGAUGCUGGAUUGCUUGAAAAGAAAAAAACCGCUCAAUCGCAAUCCCCAAGCACUGCCCCCAGUCACCAUGGUAAAAAAAGUCCGUUGGUCCCAUUGAACAAGUGGGGCAGGUGAACAAUAACUCAUUUUGACUGAAUUUUUCGAUUAUUGGAGUUUACCUGGCAUGUCUUUAAAAUGAAUCGGUGUGUUGUAAAUAGGACACAUUGCUUUUUGCAGAAACUGAUGCUUGCCACAAUUUUUCCAAGGAAAAAACUGUCAAAUAGUGAGUACACAGGAGAUGUGUGAUGUAUGAAGAGUUAUUCAACAAAAAUGAACUCAAUUUAGUACAUCCUUGAGUCAUCCAUGCUACUCAGCAUGUAGCAAUUCUAAGCUCUAGAAGUCCUGGUCUGGUCUGGAGUCUGAACCAAUCAAAAUUGUGCAGACAACUUAUAUUAUCUUUGUGUUUUAUGUCUAACAUAGUUUACACUCUCAAAGUUAAAAUAACAUACUUAAAAAUAUUGUCAAUGCCACAGCCUAAACUCGUCAUAAUGUCAGACCAUACCCGCUGAUAAAGAGCACAUUCCACUGUUUUGGCUUCAACCAUCAUGUAAUUAAGACAUAAAUAUAUAUAUUAGUGUCCACUCAAGAUUCUAAGUUACUGUGU